AUGCAAGAAGGUUUCUCCUGGAAUAGCUUAGCUUGUAGCGGGCUGAUGCUGUUUUCUGAAGGAUAUAUUAUGUGUGUUUGCUGUGAAUUGCUUGGAAGACAUAAUCUAACAUCGUUGCGUUUGUCGUCGUUGUACUCCAUAAGUCACAUUUUAUUUUAUGAAAGAGUUAUAUUUUAUGAGAAGCGUAACUCGUUUGAGCUGCAGUGUUGGCACUACUGCUUUGUCCAUCUUGAACGUGAGAUGGUUUCAGUGCAGAAGAUUGCUCAAUUAUGUGUCAUUCCAAACUUGGAUGUUAUGGUUGGAAUUACAGAGGGUCAGCUCAUGCCCCCUCCGUUCCAAAAUACUCCCUCUGUCCGGAAUUACUCUUUGGAGAAAUUCCGUCUGUCCGGAAUUAUCGGAGAAAUGAAUGUAUGUAGAGGGAAAAGCAGAGAGUACCUUCCACAGGCCAUCAUUUAA
rnacentral:rRNA from 1 species